rnacentral:rRNA from 1 species
UACGUAGGGUGCGAGCGUUAAUCGGAAUUACUGGGCGUAAAGCGUGCGCAGGCGGUUUUGUAAGUCUGACGUGAAAUCCCCGGGCUCAACCUGGGAAUUGCGUUGGAGACUGCAAGGCUGGAGCCUGGCAGAGGGGGGUAGAAUUCCACGUGUAGCAGUGAAAUGCGUAGAGAUGUGGAGGAACACCGAUGGCGAAGGCAGCCCCCUGGGUCAAGACUGACGCUCAUGCACGAAAGCGUGGGGAGCAAACAGG